AGAACGAACGCUGGCGGCGUGGAUAAGACAUGCAAGUCGAGCGAGAUUUUUCGUUGUAGCAAUACGAUGGAAAGUCUAGCGGCGAACGGGUGCUUAACACGUGGGCAAUCUGCCCUGCAUUCUGGGACAAGCCUUGGAAACGAGGUCUAAUACCGGAUACGACGCAUCUCCGCAUGGAGUGUGCGUGGAAAGCUCCGGCGAUGCAGGAUGAGCCCGCGGCCUAUCAGCUUGUUGGUGGGGUAAUGGCCUACCAAGGCGACGACGGGUA
rnacentral:rRNA from 1 species